rnacentral:rRNA from 3 species
AGCGUACACGGUGGAUGCCCUGGCAGUCAGAGGCGAUGAAGGACGUGCUAAUCUGCGAUAAGCGUCGGUGAGGUGAUAUGAACCGUUAUAACCGGCGAUUUCCGAAUGGGGAAACCCAGUGUGUUUCGACACACUAUCAUUAACUGAAUCCAUAGGUUAAUGAGGCGAACCGGGGGAACUGAAACAUCUAAGUACCCCGAGGAAAAGAAAUCAACCGAGAUUCCCCCAGUAGCGGCGAGCGAACGGGGAGGAGCCCAGAGCCUGAAUCAGUGUGUGUGUUAGUGGAAGCGUCUGGAAAGGCGUGCGAUACAGGGUGACAGCCCCGUACACAAAAAUGCACAUAUUGUGAGCUCGAUGAGUAGGGCGGGACACGUGGUAUCCUGUCUGAAUAUGGGGGGACCAUCCUCCAAGGCUAAAUACUCCUGACUGACCGAUAGUGAACCAGUACCGUGAGGGAAAGGCGAAAAGAACCCCGGCGAGGGGAGUGAAAAAGAACCUGAAACCGUGUACGUACAAGCAGUGGGAGCCUCUUAAUGGGGUGACUGCGUACCUUUUGUAUAAUGGGUCAGCGACUUAUAUUCUGUAGCAAGGUUAACCGAAUAGGGGAGCCGAAGGGAAACCGAGUCUUAACUGGGCGUUAAGUUGCAGGGUAUAGACCCGAAACCCGGUGAUCUAGCCAUGGGCAGGUUGAAGGUUGGGUAACACUAACUGGAGGACCGAACCGACUAAUGUUGAAAAAUUAGCGGAUGACUUGUGGCUGGGGGUGAAAGGCCAAUCAAACCGGGAGAUAGCUGGUUCUCCCCGAAAGCUAUUUAGGUAGCGCCUCGUGAAUUCAUCUCCGGGGGUAGAGCACUGUUUCGGCAAGGGGGUCAUCCCGACUUACCAACCCGAUGCAAACUGCGAAUACCGGAGAAUGUUAUCACGGGAGACACACGGCGGGUGCUAACGUCCGUCGUGAAGAGGGAAACAACCCAGACCGCCAGCUAAGGUCCCAAAGUCAUGGUUAAGUGGGAAACGAUGUGGGAAGGCCCAGACAGCCAGGAUGUUGGCUUAGAAGCAGCCAUCAUUUAAAGAAAGCGUAAUAGCUCACUGGUCGAGUCGGCCUGCGCGGAAGAUGUAACGGGGCUAAACCAUGCACCGAAGCUGCGGCAGCGACACUAUGUGUUGUUGGGUAGGGGAGCGUUCUGUAAGCCUGUGAAGGUGGCCUGUGAGGGUUGCUGGAGGUAUCAGAAGUGCGAAUGCUGACAUAAGUAACGAUAAAGCGGGUGAAAAGCCCGCUCGCCGGAAGACCAAGGGUUCCUGUCCAACGUUAAUCGGGGCAGGGUGAGUCGACCCCUAAGGCGAGGCCGAAAGGCGUAGUCGAUGGGAAACAGGUUAAUAUUCCUGUACUUGGUGUUACUGCGAAGGGGGGACGGAGAAGGCUAUGUUGGCCGGGCGACGGUUGUCCCGGUUUAAGCGUGUAGGCUGGUUUUCCAGGCAAAUCCGGAAAACCAAGGCUGAGGCGUGAUGACGAGGCACUACGGUGCUGAAGCGACAAAUGCCCUGCUUCCAGGAAAAGCCUCUAAGCAUCAGGUAACAUCAAAUCGUACCCAAAACCGACACAGGUGGUCAGGUAGAGAAUACCAAGGCGCUUGAGAGAACUCGGGUGAAGGAACUAGGCAAAAUGGUGCCGUAACUUCGGGAGAAGGCACGCUGAUAUGUAGGUGAAGCGACUUGCUCGUGGAGCUGAAAUCAGUCGAAGAUACCAGCUGGCUGCAACUGUUUAUUAAAAACACAGCACUGUGCAAACACGAAAGUGGACGUAUACGGUGUGACGCCUGCCCGGUGCCGGAAGGUUAAUUGAUGGGGUUAGCGGUAACGCGAAGCUCUUGAUCGAAGCCCCGGUAAACGGCGGCCGUAACUAUAACGGUCCUAAGGUAGCGAAAUUCCUUGUCGGGUAAGUUCCGACCUGCACGAAUGGCGUAAUGAUGGCCAGGCUGUCUCCACCCGAGACUCAGUGAAAUUGAACUCGCUGUGAAGAUGCAGUGUACCCGCGGCAAGACGGAAAGACCCCGUGAACCUUUACUAUAGCUUGACACUGAACAUUGAGCCUUGAUGUGUAGGAUAGGUGGGAGGCUUUGAAGUGUGGACGCCAGUCUGCAUGGAGCCGACCUUGAAAUACCACCCUUUAAUGUUUGAUGUUCUAACGUUGGCCCGUAAUCCGGGUUGCGGACAGUGUCUGGUGGGUAGUUUGACUGGGGCGGUCUCCUCCUAAAGAGUAACGGAGGAGCACGAAGGUUGGCUAAUCCUGGUCGGACAUCAGGAGGUUAGUGCAAUGGCAUAAGCCAGCUUGACUGCGAGCGUGACGGCGCGAGCAGGUGCGAAAGCAGGUCAUAGUGAUCCGGUGGUUCUGAAUGGAAGGGCCAUCGCUCAACGGAUAAAAGGUACUCCGGGGAUAACAGGCUGAUACCGCCCAAGAGUUCAUAUCGACGGCGGUGUUUGGCACCUCGAUGUCGGCUCAUCACAUCCUGGGGCUGAAGUAGGUCCCAAGGGUAUGGCUGUUCGCCAUUUAAAGUGGUACGCGAGCUGGGUUUAGAACGUCGUGAGACAGUUCGGUCCCUAUCUGCCGUGGGCGCUGGAGAACUGAGGGGGGCUGCUCCUAGUACGAGAGGACCGGAGUGGACGCAUCACUGGUGUUCGGGUUGUCAUGCCAAUGGCACUGCCCGGUAGCUAAAUGCGGAAGAGAUAAGUGCUGAAAGCAUCUAAGCACGAAACUUGCCCCGAGAUGAGUUCUCCCUGACUCCUUGA